rnacentral:tRNA from 1 species
CCUUCGAUAGCUCGGUUGGUAGAGCGGGGGACUGUAGAUCCCUUGGUCACUUGUUCAAAUCCGGUUCGAAGGA